UUCCUCUCAGGGUCACACCUGGAGAGUUUCCAGUAUUCUACCAGUCUCGACUACAGGAGGGAGGUCAAGCAGAUGCAUGCCCAUUCCAUUCCUAACUUGGGCAGUGGCUAGUGAGUGGAAGGCAAUAUGCUACAAGU